GACGAACGCUGGCGGCGUGCUUCAUACAUGCAAGUCGAGCGGGGUCCAUCCAGUGGCAACACUGGUGAAGACCUAGCGGCGAACGGGUGAGUAACACGUGAGGAACCUGCCCCAGAGACCGGGAUAACCCUCCGAAAGGAGAGCUAAUACCGGAUGCCCCCACCGGAUCGCAUGGUCUGGUGAGGAAAUGGAUUCCGCUCUGGGAGGGCCUCGCGGCCUAUCAGCUUGUUGGUGAGGUAACGGCUCACCAAGGCGUCGACGGGUAGCUGGUCUGAGAGGACGGUCAGCCACACUGGGACUGAGACACGGCCCAGACUCCUACGGGAGGCAGCAGUAGGGAAUCUUGCGCAAUGGGCGAAAGCCUGACGCAGCAACGCCGCGUGGGGGAUGAAGGCUCUCGGGUUGUAAACCCCUUUCAGCAGGGACGAUUAUGACGGUACCUGCAGAAGAAGGACCGGCCAACUACGUGCCAGCCGCCGCAGUAAGAC
rnacentral:rRNA from 1 species